UUGAGCCUGGUGUAUCUUGGAUGAUGGUGUUCAGUCCAGCCAUCACGGUCCUCUCCACCUUCCUGUGCCUGACUUUUGUUUAUCUCUGCAGUCAGAAUGCAGAUGAAAAAGAUCAAAUGACUGAGAGAAGACCUGACAUGGGAGAGGAAAGUACAGUGAAUCAGGAUGAAGACGCAUGUUUCACCAGAGUUGUGUUCUUGUGUGUCGAUGGACAGAACAAAUAGAUUGGCUUUGUCUGAGCGGACAUCACACAACCUCCACUUCAAACGUCUCACAAAGUCUUUAGCGUCUGAGUUUAAAGACCUGUUAUAUUUGUAUACAGUGAUGAUGCGUUUUGGGGGCGGAGUCAAAAUGAUGUCAGAAAGUCAGCUAGUGGUGUUGAAUUAACUGUUUGUUUGUUUGUUUUCUGGCUUCUUGCCUUCACUUGAUAAGACGGUGUAUAGAGUAGUAAACAGGAAAGAGAGAGGGGGGAAUGACAUGUGGUAAUGGAACCACAGGCCGGACCUGAACCACCCGCCCAGAGGACCAGAGCUUCCAAACAUUCGGGGCAACCCAACCAGCAGGUCAGCUGUGGUCAUGAAUUAACAAUUGGGUCUUCGGCAGAUGUUCAGCAGAAGCAGCUUUUGAGGACCCUUGUUUACUAUCACAAUGACGUUAAUCAUCCUACUACGACGCUCGAUGGCCGAUUAGGAUCCAAUUUGUCAAUGUCUUCAGAGACAUAAACAUCAACAAAACAGAUAUUUUCAACAAGUAAACAAGUAAACAAGUAUCGUUAUUAUAGCAAAGAUUACUUUGACACGACUAAAAGUGACAGCAAGAGAUCGCUGCCAGGCUUAGAACUGUGCAACCCAAUACAUGGCCUUCCUGGGCACCCACAGUGCUGCACUUUCAGGAGGAAGACUCAGAUUUCAUUUUAACUAGUUCACCACAAUGAAUUAAUUUUUUUAACAUUAAUCCCGUUUUAGU